AAGAUUGUGGUAGGAAAGACAAAGAGCGGAGCAGGAGGGAAGAGCAUGAACAACAUGGAAUGAAGAAGGCUAGGCACCCUGUUGAGAAACCUCCAGGCACCUCAGAUGAUGUUGACUCUGCCUUAGGAGGCUCAUUUCAAGGUAUGACGAGAAUAAAAGGUUUUUAACUACUUAUCUAUAUCAGGAACUAAGCAACCAUAACACACAAGUCAGAUCUUUAAUUUCAUUGUUUUAUUUACAAAUUGAU